UCAGAUUGAACGCUGGCGGCAUGCUUUACACAUGCAAGUCGAACGGCAGCGGGGGCUUCGGCCUGCCGGCGAGUGGCGAACGGGUGAGUAAUGCAUCGGAACGUGCCCAUGUCGUGGGGGAUAACGUAUCGAAAGGUACGCUAAUACCGCAUACGUCCUGAGGGAGAAAGCGGGGGACCGUAAGGCCUCGCGCGAUUGGAGCGGCCGAUGUCGGAUUAGCUAGUUGGUGAGGUAAAGGCUCACCAAGGCGACGAUCCGUAGCGGGUCUGAGAGGAUGAUCCGCCACACUGGGACUGAGACACGGCCCAGACUCCUACGGGAGGCAGCAGUGGGGAAUUUUGGACAAUGGGCGCAAGCCUGAUCCAGUCAUGCCGCGUGAGUGAAGAAGGCCUUCGGGUUGUAAAGCUCUUUCGGCCGGGAAGAAAUCGUGUUCUCUAACAUAGGACAUGGAUGACGGUACCGGACUAAGAAGCACCGGCUAACUACGUGCCAGCAGCCGCGGUAAUACGUAGGGUGCGAGCGUUAAUCGGAAUUACUGGGCGUAAAGCGUGCGCAGGCGGUUUUGUAAGACAGAUGUGAAAUCCCCGGGCUUAACCUGGGAACUGCGUUUGUGACUGCAAGGCUGGAGUACGGCAGAGGGGGGUGGAAUUCCACGUGUAGCAGUGAAAUGCGUAGAGAUGUGGAGGAACACCGAUGGCGAAGGCAGCCCCCUGGGCCUGUACUACGCUCUGCC
rnacentral:rRNA from 1 species